AUUCUUGGUCAUUUAGAGGAAGUAAAAGUCGUAACAAGGUUUCCGUAGGUGAACCUGCGGAAGGAUCAUUAUUGAAUGAAUUUGGUGUGGUUGUCGCUGGCCCUCUUGGGGGUAUGUGCACACCUCCCAUCCUCAUCUCUCCACCUGUGCACCUCUUGUAGAUUUGGAAUUGAUCAUCCGAGGCAACUCGGUCGUGAGGACUGCUAGCACUUAGUUGGCUUUCUUUGCAAUUCCAGGUCUAUGUUUUUCAUAUACCCCAUUGUAUGUAACAGAAUGUAUCAUUGGGCCCUUGUCCCUAUAAACCUUAUACAACUUUCAGCAACGGAUCUCUUGGCUCUCGCAUCGAUGAAGAACGCAGCGAAAUGCGAUAAGUAAUGUGAAUUGCAGAAUUCAGUGAAUCAUCGAAUCUUUGAACGCACCUUGCGCUCCUUGGUAUUCCGAGGAGCAUGCCUGUUUGAGUGUCAUUAAAUUCUCAACCAUAUCAACUUUUGCUGAUAAUGGCUUGGAUGUGGGGGUCUAUUUUGCUGGCUUCUCAGAUAGUCAGCUCCCCUUAAAUGCAUUAGCCGGUGCCCCGCGUGGACUGUCUAUUGGUGUGAUAAUUAUCUACGCUAUAGACAUCUGCAAUUAUAUGGGUUUGCACUGCUUCUAACAGUCUGUUAAUUCAGACAAUACAUGACAAUUUGACCUCAAAUCAGGUAGGACUACCCGCUGAACUUAAGCAUAUCAAUAAGCGGAGGAAAAGAAACUAACAAGGAUUCCCCUAGUAACUGCGAGUGAAGCGGGAAAAGCUCAAAUUUAAAAUCUGGCGGUCUCUGGCCGUCCGAGUUGUAAUCUAGAGAAGUGUUAUCCGCGCUGGACCGUGUACAAGUCUCCUGAAAUGGAGCGUCAUAGAGGGUGAGAAUCCCGUCUUUGACACGGACUGCCAGGGCUUUGUGAUGCGCUCUCAAAGAGUCGAGUUGUUUGGGAAUGCAGCUCAAAAUGGGUGGUAAAUUCCAUCUAAAGCUAAAUAUUGGCGAGAGACCGAUAGCGAACAGUACCGUGAGGGAAAGAUGAAAGAAUC
rnacentral:rRNA from 1 species